UUGGGUGACGAGUGGCGGACGGGUGAGUAAUGUCUGGGAAACUGCCCGAUGGAGGGGGAUAACUACUGGAAACGGUAGCUAAUACCGCAUAACGUCUACGGACCAAAGUGGGGGACCUUCGGGCCUCACACCAUCGGAUGUGCCCAGAUGGGAUUAGCUGGUAGGUGGGGUAACGGCUCACCUAGGCGACGAUCCCUAGCUGGUCUGAGAGGAUGACCAGCCACACUGGAACUGAGACACGGUCCAGACUCCUACGGGAGGCAGCAGUGGGGAAUAUUGCACAAUGGGCGCAAGCCUGAUGCAGCCAUGCCGCGUGUAUGAAGAAGGCCUUCGGGUUGUAAAGUACUUUCAGCGGGGAGGAAGGGUAAGAGGUUAAUAACCUUUUGCAUUGACGUUACCCGCAGAAGAAGCACCGGCUAACUCCGUGCCAGCAGCCGCGGUAAUACGGAGGGUGCAAGCGUUAAUCGGAAUUACUGGGCGUAAAGCGCACGCAGGCGGUCUGUCAAGUCGGAUGUGAAAUCCCCGGGCUUAACCUGGGAACUGCAUUCGAAACUGGCAGGCUAGAGUCUCGUAGAGGGGGGUAGAAUUCCAGGUGUAGCGGUGAAAUGCGUAAAGAUCUGGAGGAAUACCGGUGGCGAAGGCGGCCCCCUGGACGAACACUGACGCUCAGGUGCGAAAGCGUGUGGAGCAAACAGGAGUAGAUACCCUGGUAGUCCACGCCGUAAAAGAUGUCGACUUUUUAGGCUGUUCCCCCGAGGGAGUGGCUCCCCCCAGCUAAAAUCGUUUAUUUCCGACCGUCCUGUCGGAGUGACAGUCCGCGAGUGAUUACCCACACAGGUUAAAAUUGACUGGGGGGGUGGAACCAGCCGGCCGGGAGCAGCGUGUGCGAGCUUAAUAUUUUAAAGUUAAAAGGGCCAUGACCCUUGUACCUUUGAACCUC
rnacentral:rRNA from 1 species